rnacentral:rRNA from 1 species
UGGGGAAUUUUUGGACGAUGGGCGCAAGCCUGAUCCAGCCAUGCCGCGUGUCUGAAGAAGGCCUUCGGGUUGUAAAGGACUUUUGUCAGGGAAGAAAAGGAUAGGGUUAAUACCCCUGUCUGAUGACGGUACCUGAAGAAUAAGCACCGGCUAACUACGUGCCAGCAGCCGCGGUAAUACGUAGGGUGCGAGCGUUAAUCGGAAUUACUGGGCGUAAAGCGGGCGCAGACGGUUACUUAAGCAGGAUGUGAAAUCCCCGGGCUCAACCUGGGAACUGCGUUCUGAACUGGGUGACUAGAGUGUGUCAGAGGGAGGUAGAAUUCCACGUGUAGCAGUGAAAUGCGUAGAGAUGUGGAGGAAUACCGAUGGCGAAGGCAGCCUCCUGGGAUAACACUGACGUUCAUGCCCGAAAGCGUGGGUAGCAAACAGGAUUAGAUACCCUGGUAGUCCACGCCCUAAACGAUGUCGAUUAGCUGUUGGGCAGCUUGACUGCUUAGUAGCGAAGCUAACGCGUGAAAUCGACCGCCUGGGGAGUACGGUCGCAAGAUUA